rnacentral:rRNA from 1 species
AUUGGACGCUGGCGGCAGGCCUAACACGUGCAAGUCGAACGGUAACAGGAAACAGCUUGCUGUUUCGCUGACGAGUGGCGGACGGGUGAGUAAUGUCUGGGAAGCUGCCUGAUGGAGGGGGAUAACUACUGGAAACGGUAGCUAAUACCGCAUAACGUCGCAAGACCAAAGAGGGGGACCUUCGGGCCUCUUGCCAUCGGAUGUGCCCAGAUGGGAUUAGCUAGUAGGUGGGGUAACGGCUCACCUAGGCGACGAUCCCUAGCUGGUCUGAGAGGAUGACCAGCCACACUGGAACUGAGACACGGUCCAGACUCCUACGGAAGGCAGCAGUGGGGAAUAUUGCACAAUGGGCGCAAGCCUGAUGCAGCCAUGCCGCGUGUAUGAAGAAGGCCUUCGGGUUGUAAAGUACUUUCAGCGGGGAGGAAGGGAGUAAAGUUAAUACCUUUGCUCAUUGACGUUACCCGCAGAAGAAGCACCGGCUAACUCCGUGCCAGCCGCCGCGGUAA